rnacentral:rRNA from 1 species
AUGGAGCCGACCUUGAAAUACCACCCUUUAAUGUUUGAUGUUCUAACGUUGACCCGUAAUCCGGGUUGCGGACAGUGUCUGGUGGGUAGUUUGACUGGGGCGGUCUCCUCCUAAAGAGUAACGGAGGAGCACGAAGGUUGGCUAAUCCUGGUCGGACAUCAGGAGGUUAGUGCAAUGGCAUAAGCCAGCUUGACUGCGAGCGUGACGGCGCGAGCAGGUGCGAAAGCAGGUCAUAGUGAUCCGGUGGUUCUGAAUGGAAGGGCCAUCGCUCAACGGAUAAAAGGUACUCCGGGGAUAACAGGCUGAUACCGCCCAAGAGUUCAUAUCGACGGCGGUGUUUGGCACCUCGAUGUCGGCUCAUCACAUCCUGGGGCUGAAGUAGGUCCCAAGGGUAUGGCUGUUCGCCAUUUAAAGUGGUACGCGAGCUGGGUUUAGAACGUCGUGAGACAGUUCGGUCCCUAUCUGCCGUGGGCGCUGGAGAACUGAGGGGGGCUGCUCCUAGUACGAGAGGACCGGAGUGGACGCAUCACUGGUGUUCGGGUUGUCAUGCCAAUGGCACUGCCCGGUAGCUAAAUGCGGAAGAGAUAAGUGCUGAAAGCAUCUAAGCACGAAACUUGCCCCGAGAUGAGUU